ACGAACGCUGGCGGCGCGCCUAACACCUGCAAGUCGAACGAGCGAGAGAGAGCUUGCUUUCUUGAGCGAGUGGCGAACGGGUGAGUAACGCGUGAGGAACCUGCCUCAAAGAGGGGGACAACAGUUGGAAACGACUGCUAAUACCGCAUAAGCCCACGACCCGGCAUCGGGUUGAGGGAAAAGGAGCAAUCCGCUUUGAGAUGGCCUCGCGUCCGAUUAGCUAGUUGGUGAGGUAACGGCCCACCAAGGCGACGAUCGGUAGCCGGACUGAGAGGUUGAACGGCCACAUUGGGACUGAGACACGGCCCAGACUCCUACGGGAGGCAGCAGUGGGGAAUAUUGCACAAUGGGGGAAACCCUGAUGCAGCGACGCCGCGUGGAGGAAGAAGGUCUUCGGAUUGUAAACUCCUGUUGUUGAGGAAGAUAAUGACGGUACUCAACAAGGAAGUGACGGCUAACUACGUG
rnacentral:rRNA from 1 species